rnacentral:lncRNA from 1 species
UUCUUCAAUAUACAGUGAAAAAUCAUUUUUCUUCCAUCCUUGAUUCUCUAUGCUUUCAUGGUAUUAGAGCUGACGAUCUUCGGACGCUUCUCCGUCAUCUAUUGUCACCUCUGUCAGGAUUGUAUUGAAGCUUUUUUUGAUAUUUGUGAGAGUUUUUGUUGUUGAUGAACUCACUCGAUGUGUAUCGAGCGGUAAAUUGGAGCUUUUACCGCUAUCCGUUGGUUGCAUCUUCCCUGGGUGGACGUUUUGGGUAGCUUUCCGACGUCCUCGACUUGAUUCCGGUGAGAUUUCAGAUUCUAGGGUUUACACUGUUCGGA